rnacentral:rRNA from 1 species
GACGAACGCUGGCGGCGUGCUUAACACAUGCAAGUCGAACGGAAAGGCCUCUUUCGGGGGGUACUCGAGUGGCGAACGGGUGAGUAACACGUGAGUAACCUGCCCUUGACUUUGGGAUAACUUCAGGAAACUGGGGCUAAUACCGGAUAGGAGCUCCUGCUGCAUGGUGGGGGUUGGAAAGUUUCGGCGGUUGGGGAUGGACUCGCGGCUUAUCAGCUUGUUGGUGGGGUAGUGGCUUACCAAGGCUUUGACGGGUAGCCGGCCAGAGAGGGUGACCGGCCACAUUGGGACUGAGAUACGGCCGAGACUCCUACGGGAGGCAGCAGUGGGGAAUAUUGCACAAUGGGUGGAAGCCUGAUGCAGCAGCGCCGUGUGCGGGAUGACGGCCUUCGGGUUGUAAACCGCUUUCGCUCAUGACGAAGCUUUGUGUGACGGUAGUGGGUAAAGAAGCACCGGCUAACUACGUG